rnacentral:rRNA from 1 species
GAUGAACGCUGGCGGCGUGCCUAAUACAUGCAAGUCGAGCGAACGGACGAGAAGCUUGCUUCUCUGAUGUUAGCGGCGGAUGGGCGAGUAACACGUGGAUAACCUACCUAUAAGACUGGGAUAACUUCGGGAAACCGGAGCUAAUACCGGAUAAUAUUUUGAACCGCAUGGUUCAAAAGUGAAAGACGGUCUUGCUGUCACUUAUAGAUGGAUCCGCGCUGCAUUAGCUAGUUGGUAAGGUAACGGCUUACCAAGGCAACGAUGCAUAGCCGACCUGAGAGGGUGAUCGGCCACACUGGAACUGAGACACGGUCCAGACUCCUACGGGAGGCAGCAGUAGAGAAUCUUCCGCAAAAGGCGAGGGCCUGACGAAGCAACGCCGCGUGGGUGAUGAAGGUCUUCGGAUCGUAAGACUCUGUUAUUAGGGAAGAACAUAUGUGUAAGUAACUGUGCACAUCUUGACGGUACCUAAUCAGAAAGCCACGGCUAACUACGUG